rnacentral:rRNA from 1 species
UACGGGGGGUGCGAGCGUUGUCCGGAAUCACUGGGCGUAAAGGGCGCGUAGGCGGCAUGACAAGUCACUUGUGAAAUCUCCGGGCUUAACUCGGAACGGCCAAGUGAUACUGUCACGCUAGAGUGCAGAAGGGGCAAUCGGAAUUCUUGGUGUAGCGGUGAAAUGCGUAGAUAUCGAGAGGAACACCUGCGGCGAAGGCGGGUUGCUGGGCUGACACUGACGCUGAGGCGCGAAAGCUAGGGGAGCGAACGGG